rnacentral:rRNA from 1 species
GACGUAGGGGGCAAGCGUUGUCCGGAAUUAUUGGGCGUAAAGCGCUCGUAGGCGGAUCGGUAAGUCUGUGAAGAAAGACCCGGGCUCAACUCGGGGAACGGCAUAGAUACUGCUGAUCUUGAGACAGUCAGAGGAUGAUGGAAUUCCAGGUGUGGCGGUGAAAUGCGUAGAUAUCGGGAGGAACACCAGUGGCGAAGGCGGCUGCCUGGACCUUUGCUGACGCUAAUGCGCGAAAGCGUGGGGAGCGAUCCGG